CUGAAGUGAAGCUGGUGGCUUCCAAGACAAUGAUGUGCGGUCAAAUCUUCAUCUCCAGCUGCUGAUUGAUCACCCCACUCAGUACUGCAAUGGCCGUGGACGCAGGUGCCCACUGUCUAGGGCUAGAUGGCCUAGCCCCAGCUUGGACUGUCAGGAGAGGAGGAGGACUGGAGAGUGGAGACAGGAGUGGACUCACUCAGUCGACUGUGGCAUUGCAACCUCUGAACUCUGCCUGAAAAAGAUAAAACACAACAUCAGCUGCACCGAGCCCCCGGCCAAAGUGGUGAAGUGGUGUCCGAG